UCUUUAGGUAAAACAAACGUCAAUAUCUCUUUCUCUCUCGCCGUCUGUCUCUCCUCGACGACAUGAACGAUGACAGUAGCUCUUGUCUCUCCUCUCACCAGCACCGGCAGCACUUUGCAGUCCCAAUCCCAACAUCUCUCUCUUCUCUCCUCCAAUCUGUCCCUCUCUCUCUCCCCUUCGAUCGGUGAAAACUCGGAAGGAAAUGGCUUGCACCUCAUCUUCUGAAAGGAGCUUGAGUUCGAUGGAGAGCGAGACUCGAAAGGACAUGGACAUGGAUAUUAGGGAAUGGCUUGCACCUCAUCUUCUUAAAUUUCCAGAAUUCUUCCAGUCUUCAUCUAGUCUAUAGUACUGUUCUAGACUUUAGUUUAUUAUAAAUGUUUUGGCAUUUCUAAUAGUCUUCAGGAGUUCUUUUUGAAGACUAUCGUGAGGUUGUUUCUCAAAACAAUGAACCUUGGUCUCUUAUCGGAGAUUUCAAUAAUAUUUGCGAACUGAGGAGAAAAUUGGGGUAACUCCCCUUUUAAUUGUUAUAUGCAUAAUAUCUGUUCUGGAAAUUGGUCUCUUGGCAUUUACUUUUAUUAUUUUUUCUCAGGUGGAUUCUUUUCUCUCGUGUAUUAAUAGUAUUAUACAUGUUUGAUUCAUGCAGGAUUAACAGAGUCUACAAGUUGUCUUUCUUUAAUAAGGUUAUUAAAGAAAGACAAGGAUGCAUUCAUUAAAAUUUCUGCAGCGGGAAUUAAAUGCCAUUGAGAAGGACAAGGAUGCAUUCAUUGACGACUUUUAUAAGGAGGACUACAAUGACAUGGUGGAUGGAAGGCAAAGAUGGUUAGGACUAACUCUGGAGAGCAGAAGUGGGGCCUCUUCAUUGCCAAUAAUAAAUGGUUAUUAUACGUCAAGUUUUGCAUAUGCAGAUGCAAAAUUGUACUCGAGUUAGAUAUGCAUUUCAGAUAAACAUUGUAUUCAGUUGAUGAUGUGUUGUGCUUUAGACGGUCUUAUCUUAAACUAUGUCGAUGUCCUAUUAGUGUUUGAACUUUUGCCAUCUAUAAUAAUGGAAUUGGGGUUUGUUUUUGCUCAUUUGUA